rnacentral:pre_miRNA from 1 species
CUUCCGUCCAAAGUAUACUUAUAAUUUUUUGACUUUCGUCUCAUUUAAACUUUUUUGUGAUUGGUAGUUUUGUUUUUAUUAGAUGAUAAAUUAUAAAUAGUACUUUAUGUGUGACUAAUUUUUUUCUAAUUUUCUGAAAAAUUUUUAAAUAAAACGAAUGGUUAAACGUUGAACACGAAAACUGAAG